rnacentral:rRNA from 1 species
AACCACUUUUGCACGGGACGAAAAAGGGAUAUCGAACAAAUAUCCCCGAUGACGGUACCGUGAGAAUAAGCCACGGCUAACUCUGUGCCAGCAGCCGCGGUAAGACAGAGGUGGCAAGCGUUGUUCGGAAUUACUGGGCGUAAAGAGUCUGUAGGUGGUUUGUCAAGUCUUUGGUGAAAGGCCGUAGCUUAACUAUGGGAAUGCCAAAGAGACUGGCAGGCUGGAGGCUGGGAGAGGGAAGCGGAAUUUCUGGUGUAGCGGUGAAAUGCGUAGAUAUCAGAAGGAAGGCCGGUGGCGAAGGCGGCUUCCUGGAACAGUCCUGACACUGAGAGACGAAAGCGUGGGGAGCAAACAGGAUUAGAUACCCUGGUAGUCCACGCCCUAAACGAUGGGUACUAAGU